UGGGGAAUCUUCCGCAAUGGACGCAAGUCUGACGGAGCAACGCCGCGUGAGUGAAGAAGGAUUUCGGUUCGUAAAACUCUGUUGUUAGAGAAGAACAGCGCAUAGAGUAACUGUUAUGCGUGUGACGGUAUCUAACCAGAAAGCCACGGCUAACUACGUGCCAGCAGCCGCGGUAAUACGUAGGUGGCAAGCGUUGUCCGGAUUUAUUGGGCGUAAAGCGAGCGCAGGCGGUCAAUUAAGUCUGAUGUGAAAGCCCCCGGCUCAACCGGGGAGGGUCAUUGGAAACUGGUUGACUUGAGUGCAGAAGAGGAGAGUGGAAUUCCAUGUGUAGCGGUGAAAUGCGUAGAUAUAUGGAGGAACACCAGUGGCGAAGGCGACUCUCUGGUCUGUAACUGACGCUGAGGCUCGAAAGCGUGGGUAGCAAACAGG
rnacentral:rRNA from 1 species